GGCGAAGCAACAAAAUAUCAGCAAAGUUUUAAAUUAAGAAUCGGCGACGUGUUGUUUGACAUGUACUUAUGCUGUCCACACCUCGCUGAAUGGAUGUCAGCCGCAGCUUCCAAUUGGACCGGACAGGUCGACAAAAGCUCCGGAAUAAACAUUUCUUCGGUCGACCCACUUGAAAGGUAAUACUUUUAAUCCAGCAAACAGUCAAAACACCGGGCCUAUCAAAUGGGAUAAAGUGCGGAUUAUUUAUUUAAUGGGAUACCUAUAUGUUUGUUCAAUAAAGUAAAUUUUCGUUGCGUAUCUAGCUUCUUCAAAA